rnacentral:tRNA from 1 species
ACAUUGGUGGUUCAGUUGUAGAAUUUUCACCUUCCAUGCAGGAGACCCAGGUUCGAUUCCCGGCCAACGUA